rnacentral:rRNA from 1 species
CAGUCGCCACGGUAAUACGGAGGGAGCUAGCGUUGUUCGGAAUUACUGGGCGUAAAGCGCACGUAGGCGGCUUUGUAAGUUAGAGGUGAAAGCCUGGAGCUCAACUCCAGAAUUGCCUUUAAGACUGCAUCGCUUGAAUCCAGGAGAGGUGAGUGGAAUUCCGAGCGUAGAGGUGAAAUUCGUAGAUAUUCGGAAGAACACCAGAGGCGAAGGCGGCUCACAGGACUGGUAUUGACGCUGAGGUGCGAAAGCGUGGGGAGCAAACAGGAUUAGAUACCCCAGUAGUCCCUGUCUCUUAUAC